CGCUGCACCACCGCGGCAUACAUGGUUAAUAUAAUCUAAUUUGCAAAAAAGUGUAUAAAAUCUGCAAUGAUUUCAUUGCUUGCCUUUGAAUAGUAAUAUCUGCUACCCAUCGGUUGUACAGGAAAUUCCCCAUUUGUUUGUAAGUUGUUGCAAAUUUCUUCAAAUGUAGUGACCUGACUAAUCCAGUAGUUGAUUUCAGUGAUUGUUUAAUGAAUCAACAUUGAUAAGAGAAAUAUGUCUUAAGUUGCAUAUUGCAGAUGGAAUCACUUGCAUUGUUUUUCUUCUAGUACCUAGAUCGGAUAGGACAGCUUUUCUUUGGAGUACCACCCAAACAGACAUCAUCAUACGGGGGAAUAUUAGGCAACAUUCUUAACAGCCUUAUGGGAAGUGAAGAUGAUACAGAAGGACCAGAUGACAGCAGUCCUAUUGAACUUGACUGAAAAAGAAUGUAUGAUUUUUGUUCUUCGCUGUGCUGCAUGAAUUUUGAAAAAUAAUUGGAGUUUAAAACAGGAUUGACUGCUGUCUUGGACUGCUGAGAUGUUGCCAUUCCGUGCAGCUGUAAAAGGGCUUAUCUCUGCCUUUAAGAGAGAGUUGUGCAAGAUGUUCAUCGGGUUGUUUUGUGUAAACUUGUAUUAUUUAUGUAAAAAAGACUGAGAAGCUGAAUAUCAUGUGCUUUUUUGGUAUGUUUUAGUUUACUAACUGGGCCAUUACUGUGGGGAAUUGCUAUUUUAAAGACUGAAUUCAGUAUUCUCUUUUUCCAUGACCUUUAUGUAUAAUAAAAGUCUAGAACAGAACAACCUGCUUCCUUUUUAAAGGACAUUUCUGUACAAGUUAUAUUCUUAGAAGCAAAUUAGAGAGUUUUUUUCAUAGGUGCUCUGUAACCCCUUAUGUCAUAAUCACAUGUAAAACAGCCAAAUAAAAUGUUACCUUCACUGUUGAUACUGUGAGGUGUGAUUAGAAAAGGGGAAGUCUGCUGUAGAGCACUUGGUAACCAUACAGUAAAAGUUCAGUUAUAACCGCAUUUCCUUGCAGGACUGCAUCCAGUUUAAAUUCCAGUAUGUCUUCUUUGUUGUUAGUUUAAAACCAAGACUGUAACCUGUUGCAGACCUGCAACAAAAGUGCAUGGUAACAACUGGCAUUUAUUUUCUUGAUUGGCAAAAUAAACAGAAAUGUUGAUUCUGUGUUAA